rnacentral:misc_RNA from 1 species
GAUGAAGAACGCAGCGAAAUGCGAUAAGUAAUGUGAAUUGCAGAAUUCAGUGAAUCAUCGAAUCUUUGAACGCACAUUGCGCCCCUUGGUAUUCCAUGGGGCAUGCCUGUUCGAGCGUCAUUUGUACCCUCAAGCACUGCUUGGUGUUGGGUGUUUGUCCCGCUUUGCGCGUGGACUCGCCUUAAAGCAAUUGGCAGCCGGCAGAUUGGCCUGGAUCGCGAGCACAUUUUGCGACCUUGUCAUAACUGUUUGGCACCCAUCAAGACUAUUUUUUGCUCUUGACCUCGGAUCAGGUAGGGAUACCCGCUGAACUUAAGCAUAUCAAUAAGCGGAGGA